UGAUAGGCGUCGGUUGGGCCUGCAGUCUGACGAGACUGAUAGGCGUCGGUUGGGCCUGCAGUCUGACGAGACUGAUAGGCGUCGGUUGGGGCCUGCAGCUCGGCAAGACUGAUAGGCGUCAGUCGGGGCCUGCAGUCGACGGGACUGAUAGGCGACGGUAGGGCCUGCAGCUUGGCGAGACUGAUAGGCGUCGGUCGGGCCUGCAAUCUGACAGGACUGAUAGGCGUCGGUAGGGCCUGCAGUCUGACGGGACUGAUAGGCGUCGGUAGGGCCUGCAGUCUGACGGGACUGAUAGGCGUCGGUAGGGCCUGCAGUCUGACAAGAUUGAUAGGCGUCGGUAGGGCCUGCAGUCUGCCGAAACUGAUAGGCGUCAGUCGGGCCUGCAGCCUGACGAGACUGAUAGGCAUGGGUCGGGGCCUGCAGUCUGCCGAACUGAUAGGCGUCAGUCAGGGCCUGCAGUCUGACGAGACUGAUAGGCGAUAGGGCCCGCACGCUGGCGGGACUGAUGGCGAAGCAGCGUGAUGGACUGCGAGGCCAAGCCGGCAGGGCUGAGGGCCUGUUGGGCCCUGCUAGCUUCCCUAGGUGUGAAAUAAAUGUUAGAGGUGACUGUAGCGGCCUCUCGGAAUGAACAGCCAGAUGCAGGGAGUUCCGAACGGGUGCAGUUUAAUCUUGACCUUUCUUGUCAGACACCGUGAAAACUGUAGCAUAAAUAAAGGAUACAUAAUGUAUAAAUAAACAUAAAUGUUCACAAAACACAAUUGCGCACAAUCCUACCUCAUUCUGCUUUCCAAGAGCGCUAUUUUACAAAUUUUCUUUUUCUUCAGGCUCUAACGCUGACUCUGCGAGGUUAGCGAACAGGAAGUGCCUAACACAAAAUACGCAAAGAAGAAAUCUACCGCUCUUCAAAAUAAAGCACAAAUCAACCACUAAGUAUCACUGUGGGACCAAUGAACAAAUAGAAGAAUUUCACCAUUUAGUAGCUAUUUACGGUGACUAGUGCUCCACCACCAGUAAUUUGGAGAGAUGCUCACCUGCAGACAUUGCAUGAGAAGCGUUCACGUAGGUUCGAAGCACGGCUGACGAGCAGGAAGACCCCAGGGUAGCUCGGACUUUUGAAGGUGUCUUUGGACGACGAUUGGCUGGAGUGGCGUGAAGCUCCGGUCCGGAUUGGCUGCGGUCGGGCGUAGUGAUUAGAUGAUGUGGUGAAGCUGGUCGAGUCUCCCAGUUUGAAUUUUCGCCAAGGCUCCAUUU